rnacentral:rRNA from 1 species
AGUGAACCCUGGCGGUAGGCCUAACACAUGCCAGUCGAACGGCAGCACAGUAAGAGCUUGCUCUUACGGGUGGCGAGUGGCGGACGGGUGAGGAAUACAUCGGAAUCUACUUUUUCGUGGGGGAUAACGUAGGGAAACUUACGCUAAUACCGCAUACGACCUACGGGUGAAAGCAGUGGAUCUUCGGACCUUGCGCGAUUGAAUGAGCCGAUGUCGGAUUAGCUAGUUGGCGGGGUAAAGGCCCACCAAGGCGACGAUCCGUAGCUGGUCUGAGAGGAUGAUCGGCCACACUGGAACUGAGACACGGUCCAGACUCCUACGGGAGGCAGCAGUGGGGAAUAUUGGGCAAUGGGCGCAAGCCUGACCCAGCAAUACCGCGUGGGUGAAGAAGGCCUUCGGGUUGUAAAGCCCUUUUGUUGGGAAAGAAAAGAAGCAGGUUAAUACCCCGCUGUUCUGACGGUACCUAAAGAAUAAGCACCGGCUAACUUCGUG